rnacentral:rRNA from 1 species
CCCUUAGAUGUUCUGGGCCGCACGCGCGCUACACUGACGCAUUCAACGAGCUUAUAACCUUGGCCGAGAGGCCUGGGCAAUCUUGUUAACGUGCAUCGUGAUAGGGAUAGAUUAUUGAAAUUAUUAAUCUUGAACGAGGAAUUCCUAGUAAACGCAGAUCAUCAAUCUGCAUUGAUUACGUCCCUGCCCUUUGUACACACCGCCCGUCGCACCUACCGAUUGGAUGGUCCGGUGAAGCCUCGGGAUUGUGGUUCUUGCCGCUUUAUUGUGGCGUGACCGCGAGAACUUGUCUAAACCUUAUCAUCUAGAGGAAGGUGAAGUCGUAACA